AGAACGAACGCUGGCGGCGUGGAUAAGACAUGCAAGUCGAACGCGACUUAUCGUGAUAGCAAUAUCAUGGUAAGUUGAGUGGCGAAAGGGUGCGUAACACGUGGGAAUUUACCAAGAAGUGGGGAAUAGCUCGACGAAAGUCGAAUUAAUACCGCAUACGAUCGCAAGAUCAAAGCCGGGGACCGCAAGGCCUGGCGCUUUUUGAGAAGCCCGCGGCCCAUCAGCUCGUUGGCGGGUAACGGCCCACCAAGGCUAUGACGGGUAGCUGGUCUGAGAGGACGACCAGCCACACUGGAACUGAGACACGGUCCAGACACCUACGGGUGGCAGCAGUCGAGAAUUUUUCACAAUGG
rnacentral:rRNA from 1 species